GGCCAUGUGGCCCAAUGGCAAGGCGCUUGACUACGAUUCAAAUCCGACAUCAAGAGAUUCCAGGUUCGACCCCUGGCAUGGUCA
rnacentral:tRNA from 1 species